AAAUAUAGUGCCUGAAUAAAGGAUAGUUUCGAUACAACUAAUAAUGUGAGUUCCACCUAUAUU
rnacentral:tRNA from 1 species